ensembl:lncRNA
CGACUUGUAGCCUAGUGGUUAGAGCGUUGGGCCAGUAACCAGCAGGUAGCCUAGUGGUUAGAGCGUUGGGCGACUUGUAGCCUAGUGGUUAGAGCGUUGGGCCAGUAACCGAAAGGUUGCUGGAUUGAGACCCCAAGCUGACAAGGUAAAAAUCUGUCGUUAUGUCCCUGAACAAGGCAGUUAACCCAACGUUCCCCGGUAGGCUGUCAUUGUAAAUGAGAAUUUGUUCUUAACUGACUUGCCUAGUUAAAUAAAGGUUAUAUAUCUCAGCAAAAAAAUAAACUUCCCUUUUUCAGGACCCCGUCUUUCAAAGAUAAUUGGUUAAAAUCCAAAUAACUUCACAGAUCUCCAUCGUAAAGGGUUUAAACACUGUUUGCCAUGCUUGUUCAAUGAACCAUAGACAAUUAAUGAACAUGCACCUGUGGAACGGUCGUUAGCUUCUUAGGGCUGAAAUCCUGCUAACGGGAUCGAUAUGACAACAGCCAGUGAAAGUGCAGGGUGCCA